UCUGUGUGUAAUGAAUGAAUAUAAUAUACAAGUUUCACUUUUUGAAUGAUAGUUCACUGUUAUAUUGACAAAAUGACAAAGCAUUUUGACUAUCAUGUUUGAGAGCAGUUAUUGUCAUACAAAAUAACAAAAAGUGUUUAAAAGAAUCAUGAAUUAAGCUGGCACGUUUAAAUGUUUGUUAACAUAUUUAUUUGUUCUUACUUUGAUUUUAUAGCCCUAGCCCUAGCCCUAGCCCUAGCUGAGAUCUGCUUCUGCUGCUCAUACUGUGAUCAGCCGCCCUUCCCCCACAGCACUCUCUGAUCGCGCGCGCGCCCUUCCCCCACAGCACUGUCUCUGACUGACUCACUGCAGAUGAGAUGCUUGCAUAUCAGCCCUGCUGUGGGUUUGCAGACUUCAAUUGACUGUUUUGAUUAAUAAAUGCUAUUACAGUUUUUUUUCAAUCGCUUACAAGCGCUUACCCAUACUUUAGAUACUUUUUCUAAACUCUUAACACAGACUCACACCUACAAAACACAACAAUUGGCCAAAUGGAUAAUUUUCUUCUCGAAAACACAUUUUGUUAAAUUUAUACUAAAUCUUAAUUUCAAAAUAGAACACAUCUUUCUGUCAACACACCAACUUUACCAAAACACUGGAAAUCUGACUCAAAAUUAAAUUAUUCUGUCAAAGAAUAACUUGUUUUCACCUCAAAAGGUACAUGCAGUCAAUCAAAGUACACCAGGUUUCAAAAUACUGGCUAUUGUUGACAUUACAAAAACUGCAUAGACUUUUCAGUCUCAGUUUUACAGGUAUUUGCAUGCAAAACAUGCAAUUCACUGUUUUACACUAAAUUUCUUGGUUAGGAACUGUAUGUCCAAAUGUACAGUAAUGUUUACAUUCAAAAGCAUUCCAGUAAAAAGCUAUUUUUUUCCUUUACUGUUUACUGCAGGAGGUACAGUAGAAACGCGGUAUGAUAGAACAGAAAAGCUUUGAGAGUAUUGCUUACAGUGAACAGAAUAUCCAUCUCACUGCUCCUGCUCUUCUCCCUGGCCCCCUUGCUCUUACUCUUCCUCGUCCAUACAUUACAGUGUUUGUCUUUUUCUGUUUCCAAAAAUAUUACUCUUCAAAGUCCUCCUUUUACUGUAUUGUAUAAGUGUCAAUGUAAUAGAAAAAAAAAUAACCCCUGCGAUUGAGUCUAAGCCAGAUUGGAAUCAGCUGUGGUUGGCCCAAUUUACACAACAUAAAUCAGCUAAGAUAAAUUGUUUUUGAACUGAUUUAAUUGCAGAAGCAGAGGUUUUUAUACUGUAUCUAAGGUUUGGAACAUUGUUUUUGCUAUUGUGGGAUGUUGUGUGUUAACAUUUGUAAAUACUACAAAAACGAUCCAUAAUUUUGUUGGGAGGUAUAGCUUGUCUGUUCAGAAAAUGUAAGCAUUGUGGAAAUGUGUUCAAUGACUCCAUAUUGUGUAAAAACGACAUGAAAUGAGUGAAUGGUAUGGCCACAAUAGACAGAUGCUUUGCUAAUUGUGUUUAGAGUUUUGAAAAUAUGACAGCUGCUUGGACAAAUGCUUGUUAGCGACUGAAAACAACUGUAAUAGAAAAUAAGAUGUCUGUUCAAGAGAUCUAGGUUGCUCAUUUAGACAGUUGUGAGCUCUUGUUUACAGCAGACCUGCACAUUUUGAAUAUUCAUAUUUGUAAUCCUCUUAAAAGCUUUAUGAUGUGGUGUUAUUUCAGAAAAUUAAGUACACGUUGGGUACAUUUUUUUUACAAACCAGUGCACUUACUGGUUUGAAAAUCUUAAGAAUGAUUCAAGAAAUUAUAUAUCUAUGUAUCGCUCUCUCUCUCUCUCUCUCUCUCUCUCUAUAUAUAUAUAGAGAGAGAGAGAGAGAGAGAGAGAGAGAGAGAGAGCAGUUAUAGUCAUACAAAAGAACAAAAGUGUUUAAAAGAAUCAUGAAUUAAGCUGGCACGUUUAAAUGUUUGUUUACAGAUUUAUUAGUUCUUACUUUGAUUUUCAACUAUAGCCCUAUAGCCCUAGCCCUAGCCCUAGCUGAGAUCUGCUUCUGCUGCUCAUACUGUGAUCAGCCGCCCUUCCCCCACAGCACUCUCUGAUCGCGCGCGCGCCCUUCCCCCACAGCACUGUCUCUGACUGACUCGCUGCAGAUGAGAUGAAUGAAUGAACUAACAAAAGUCUUGUGAGCUCUAGUUUACAGCAGACCUGCACGUUUUGAAUAUUCUUAUUUGUAAUUCUCUUAAAAACUUUAUGAUGUGGUGUUAUUUUAUAAAAAUAAGUGCACACCGGGUACUUUUUGCUCUUUUAAACCAGUGCUUGUACGGACAUGCGCACUGGUUCCUAGUUUGAGGUGGGUGCUCGGUUAAAAAGUGAUCAUGUGCUCUGUCCACUAGAAAGACUAACUUCAUCACAUUUUUUUUUUAAGUUUGAAGAAACAGUACUGUGGUCAAAACAAAUAUCAUUGCCACCAGAUAAUUUUCUAUUAGGCCAAAUAAAUGUAGUCACAAUUUCAACGUGAAAUCCAAAUACGUAACUACGUCAUUUACGCAAGUCAGCGACGGUGGUGUUUUCCCGGGAAAUGCAGACACGUGACGAUGGAACGCGCGAAACAGACGACAAACAACCCACCAGGAGGAAAGAAAAACACAACACCGGUUUGGAUAUGAGGUCAUUUCAAGAAAGAAAGUCGCCAUGCUGGGAAAUAAAAGACGUAGGAAACCUCUGCAGGAUGCUUAGCAUCACAUUACCUGUAAAACUGACAAGCCUGGGCUUCGAGAGCAGUUCAUCAGCAAAUAUAAAGG